ACAAAACAAAAAUCUAAGGGGGGCUGGGUUUUCGAAGAUUUUUGUGAGAAUUUUCUCCUGUAUUUUAUAGUCAUCUCACAUAUAUCAAAUUUAUUUUGAUUGUGUCUUUCUAAAGCCCCCCAUAUUCAGCCAUUACUCCCAUGUUCAACCAUUAUCCCCUCCAUGUUCAGCCAUUACCCCCAUGUUCAGCCAUUACCCCCCCAUGUUCAACCAUUAUCCCCCCAUGUUCAGCCAUUACCCCCAUGUUCAGCCAUUGCCUCCAUGUUCAGCCAUUACCCCCAUGUUCAGCCAUUACCCCCAUGUUCAGCCAUUACCCCCCAUGUUCAACCAUUAUCCCCCCAUGUUCAGCCAUUACCCCCAUGUUCAGCCAUUGCCUCCAUGUUCAGCCAUUACCCCCAUGUUCAACCAUUAUCCCCCCAUGUUCAGCCAUUGCCCCCACCAUGUUCAGC
rnacentral:lncRNA from 1 species